GUGCUCCCGGCAGGCUGUGCGCGAGCGCGAACCUUCCACCCGAGCGUGAGGAGCUCGCUGCCGCUGAGAGCGCGGGAGGCCGCCUCGCGAGUGGCAAGUUCAUUGAGUAUUUUGACCCAAAUCCAGGGAUGGCGUCCCAAACAGGUUUCUAAAACAACGAACUUAAUGAGACAACAGCCACCACAGACCUGCGCUCUGUCAGCAAGAAGCCUGAGUUCUCGGAGGUGCAGUUAGUGUCUCAGGGUCCACGAUGCUCACAAAUGCUAGAAACCUAAGGUCAGGAAGGAGCUCGGCGACGCUCGCCCGGGUCUCCAGCAGCAAGCGCCCGACGCUCCUGCCGGAAGCAGCCGGGACACAGCGGCCGCGCGUGUUCUCCAGGCCUCCCCGCCCCCCUCCCCCCGCCUCCCAACCCGCAGGACAAAGACUGCGGGGUCGUCCAAGUCACUCAGGGAGUAGCGGCCUCGCCACACGGGAUCCCAGCAACAAUAAGCGUGCGCAGGGGUCGCCUGCCUUGACGGGGGCGACCAGCGGCGGGGACCCGAGAUGAAGAGCUGGAGACUCAGAAAGUUUAACUAACUUUUCCAGGAGUGGAAUGAGGAAGGCAUUUUAUGACUUAAGCAGUUACUAGGUGGCAGUAGCUGAACUUGCCCUCUAGUCUGAUUCACAAUCAACUGCUCUUAAGCUCUGUUCUACUUGCCGCUGUUUGGGAUGCUGCCUGGCUCACAGUGGUCUACUCUAAACUCCAGAUCUUGGCUGGUUUCCAUAAUGUCAUGUUCUGUUUUUGUUUUAUUAUAAGCCACUGCAGCAUAAUGCAAGCCAUGCCCUAAAAUAUUUAUUCCUAGCUUCACUAACUCAUUUGGUAUGAAGAACAAGAUCACAUAUCAAUGUGUGGGCUAUGUCGUGGGCCCUUACGCCAAAGCAAUAGGAAGUGUGUCUUUUUUUUUUUUUUAAUGUAACAAGCAUUGUGGAUUAAAAAAAAUUUUUUUUCGUCUGAUUAUCUUUGUAACAUCCAUGGCUUGGAAUGUGAAAGGUCAUCUCAUUGUACAGUUGGUACAGGCACCUGAAAAUGCAGUGGUCAUUUCUUUCAGGUAUCUCAGGGGGGCCUGCUCAUCUCCUUGAGAAGAUAUAUUUUUCUCUCUCACAACAAGAAAUUUCCAAUUUGAUAUUUAUAGUCAACAGAGAAGUGGAGAGUGGAUGGGAAAGAUGGGAAAGAGAAAUGAAGAGUUUAUAACUUCUCUAGAUCUUAGAACUUUUCCUAUUUAAACUAACGGACUGUAUGUGUCUGGGUAGAUUUCUGUAUCAGACUUUCCGGAGACGUGUGUGUACUUGGUAUGAAUUAUUUGAUGCUUAUCUGCCUAUAUAGCUCAUGUUCAUACCUGACACAAUAAAGAAUGAAUGAUGGGCUUUGGGGUGGAUAGAAGAUAAAUCCCCAAGGUCUUAUGUGUAUUGCCACGUUACGUGUCUCUCUGUUUAUAAAGGAUUCUGGCUUUUGAUUGUCAUGGUAGUUAGGUGGGAUCCUGGUUCAGCCAUCAUAAAAGGAUAUUUAAGCUCUCAUCCAGAUAGAAGACUGGCAGUAGUUCAGCUUCACGGUUAAACUAGCUGUUUAAUGACCUCAUCAAGUGUGCAUGUUCCUCUCAUCUUUCUGCUCUGCCAUCUUCAGAUUGUUCCCCAUGGUCUCAAGGUAGCUGUCAGAGUUCCAGCAGUCUUAGACCAGACAAUGUCCAGCACUAGAGCCCAUCUCUUUUGAUUAGCAAACUGACCUUUCCCUAAAGUGUCCUAGAGACCUCUUUUCAUUUUUCAUUGGCCAGACUGGGUCAUGUGGCCACCCUAAACAGCUCAUU